rnacentral:lncRNA from 1 species
UGAAAUGGCAAGCAUGAGAAUGAAAGAAAAUGCACUCAUCAUGACAGGAGGAAGAGCAGAAGAAAUCUGGGUCACUGGUGAUAUCAAUGGAUAGCUGAAGCAAUGCUGCUCUGGAUGGAAAAUGCCCUGGGUUCUCCGAGACUUAACACCCCGCCUUGUGAACGCGAGCAAGAUUAUUCUCUCUGAGCAGCUCUUUUCACAUGUGAUAAGCUUGGCAAGUUGCCCUGAGCUAACUACGCAUGAU